GCCGAGUCUAUACGAGAUUCUUUUGUAUUGUUUGCUUGUACCGGAAUAUUUAAAAUUUUAUUUUUCUUUUCUCUUUUUGAUUCGCAAAUAACGUAAAUAAUCAAGAAUUAAGAAGUGAAAAUUUUACUUGUCAUUUUAUUUAUUUAAAAAAAGAAAGAAAAACAACAAGAUUUAUCAAAAAUUUAUCGAACUUUGAAUAAAGACAGUGAAAUUGAUGUUUUUGUGACAUAAGAUAAAAAAAAAAUUGGAUUUUUUUCUUCAUGCUUUUGUUUUUGUCUCAUUUUAAAUUAUAAAUGAUAAUAAAAACAAUUUACAUACAUAUAAAAAUAAAUAAAUAAAUAAAAAGAAGACAUAAGACAAGAUCAGAAAAAGAAGAAACAAAUAAUAAAAAUAUUCACAAUUGAAUUUUAUGAUAAAACAAAAAAAAAACAACAAAAACAAAAAAUAAAUGUGAAUCAAAGAGGAAAUAAUAAGUGAACAAAGAAACAAAAUAUUUAGAUAUAACGGGGGAUAUGUCCAUUUUAAAAAGUCAACAUUUUAUUUAAAAUUUUUUUUAAAUUAAAAAUACAAGUAACUCUCGUUUGACGUUGAUUCUACCUUGUUUUACUUUUUAUGCUUUUAGAAUAAAAUUAAAUUGGAAUGCGAAGAAAAAAC